UACCAGCACCCCGAGUGGUCGGGACGAUUAUUGGGCAUAAAGCAUCCGUAGCCGGUUCUGCAAGUCCCCCGUUAAAUCCAGCUGCUCAACAGAUGGGCCGCGGAGGAUACUACAGAGCUAGGAGGCAGGAGAGGCAAGCGGUACUCAGUGGGUAGGGGUAAAAUCCGUUGAUCCAUUGAAGACCACCAGUGGCGAAGGCGGCUUGCCAGAAUGCGCUCGACGGUGAGGGAUGAAAGCUGGGGGAGCAAACCGG
rnacentral:rRNA from 1 species